UAAAACUGUAAAUAUGUUUAGAUAAAAGAAUCCUGCUGGAUCAGAAAUGAAUGUUUUAUUAAGUCAUCAAGCCCAAUCAUUAGAGGUAUUUUUUCUCUGUAAAAUUGACUUAAGGCAGUUUUCAAAAACCUUUUAAAACUGUUUUAAGAAAUGGUUCUCUUUAGUAAAUCUCUAUUAUGUCUGUAUUCUGUCCUUUUACUUAUGUCUAACUUUAAUCAACUUGAAUACAGACCCUCAAGUUAUUUAGAUAAGUCUUCAAAUCAGAUGAAAUUGUUUUAACAUUUGAAACCCUGCCUCUUAAUAUAAUGAGUAUUUACUUCUGUGGAGGUUCAGCAUGCAUAUUUUGAUGUGACAGAUUAAUAAAAAGAAUAUUUAUAUUUGCCUACUGGAAGGUAGUGUUUCCUUGGGAUACUGAAUAAAGGACUUACUGUGAACCUGU
rnacentral:lncRNA from 1 species